rnacentral:rRNA from 1 species
AGCGGUAGCAGUGGGUGCUUGCACCUAGCUGACGAGCGGCGGACGGGUGAGUAACGCGUAGGAACCAACCCAGUAGUUUGGGAUAGCCCAGAGAAAUUUGGAUUAAUACCGGAUACCUUCUACGGAAGAAAGCAGGGGCUCUUCGGACCUUGCGCUAUUGGCUGGGCCUGCGUGAGAUUAGCUAGUUGGUGGGGUAAAGGCCUACCAAGGCGACGAUCUCUAGCUGUUCUGAGAGGAUGAUCAGCCACACUGGGACUGAGACACGGCCCAGACUCCUACGGGAGGCAGCAGUGGGGAAUAUUGCACAAUGGGCGGAAGCCUGAUGCAGCCAUGCCGCGUGUGUGAAGAAGGCCUUCGGGUUGUAAAGCACUUUCAGUUGUGAGGAAAGGGUUAUGGUUAAUAUCCAUGAUCUGUGACGUUAGCAACAGAAGCAGCACCGGCUAACUCCGUGCCAGCAGCCGCGGUAAUACGGAGGGUGCGAGCGUUAAUCGGAAUUACUGGGCGUAAAGCGCGCGUAGGCGGUUAAUUAAGCUGGAUGUGAAAGCCCAGGGCUCAACCUUGGACGUGCAUCCAGAACUGGUUGGCUAGAGUACGGUAGAGGUGAGUGGAAUUUCCUGUGUAGCGGUGAAAUGCGUAGAGAUGGGAAGGAACAUCAGUGGCGAAGGCGACUCACUGGGCUGAUACUGACGCUGAGGUGCGAAAGCGUGGGUAGCGAACAGGAUUAGAUACCCUGGUAGUCCACGCUGUAAACGAUGUCUAUUAGCCGUUGGUUUCC